rnacentral:rRNA from 1 species
AAUGAACGCUGGCGGCGCGCCUAAUACAUGCAAGUCGAGCGAGAAGACGUAGCAAUACGUUUGUAAAGCGGCGAAUGGGUGAGGAAUACAUGGGUAACCUACCCUUGAGUGGGGAAUAACUAGCCGAAAGGUUAGCUAAUACCGCGUACGCUUCUUGGACUUCGGUUCAGGGAGGAAAGCGCUACCGUGGGUAGCGCGCUCUUGGAUGGGCUCAUGUCCUAUCAGCUUGNGGUGAGGUAACGGCUCACCAAGGCUUCGACGGGUAGCUGGUCUGAGAGGACGGAUCAGCCACACUGGCACUGCGACACGGGCCAGACUCCUACGGGAGGCAGCAGUGGGGAAUAUUGCGCAAUGGGCGAAAGCCUGACGCAGCGACGCCGCGUGAGGGAUGACGGCCU